UCUAUAUUAUUUGAUAAUACACUCCUUUCUGUAGUUCAGAAAAAUUCAUAUACUACAUUCGCUCUCGCGAGAUUUUUUUUUGACACAUUCGGAAUAGGAAACAUACAACACAAAAAUUCCUACCUCACACUAUUAACUGCUAAAAUCAACUCAAAUCAACUUAAUCUUUCAUUAAAAAAAGAAGAAUUAUUAGAAAUAGUGGGAGUGUCUACUAAUCUCAUAAAAUUUUGUGAAGUUUAUUUCUACAAAAUAUUUUUAUUUUGUACAAUAAAUAAUUUUCUCAUUUGCUAUCAAUACAUUAUAAUGGUUUAAAUAAAUAAUUAUUGAUUGGCGUAAGGUUUAUGUUAUUUUUAUGUCUGUUUACUAUUAAUAAUAUUGGAUAUGAGCAGGUGCGUUGGUUUUGUAGUAAUUUCCAGUCACUUCUGACAACUGAACUUUUCAAAAAAGAAAUUACUAACGUCAGUGUCAAAAAAAAUCUCUCGAGAGCGAAUGUAGUAUACCUAAGCUACCCCAUAGCCCUUUCGUGACCAGCUGACACAAUCGUGAGCUCAUGUUUAUGUGGGUAUCAAUAUGAAAAUAAACAUAUUUUUACUAGGAAAGAUGAUAUCAAUAUGUUGUGUCUAUCGUGUAUUAUCAGAGUAACUGAAAUUAUUUAACUAAUUCACGCUUAGUUUGCAAUAGAAUACCCUAUAAAGAAGGCUGUGUAUUUUGACGACAAAACUGAUAAAGGUGUGCCUCUCACCCACGAUUUGGCUCUAGAGGUGUUAAAUGAGGGUAACUAGUCCGAAAUAGAAGAUUUAGAUGGCGAAAAUGAUGUUGCUUUUGAUGUUCAGAUGUUUAAAAAUAACACCGAUGACAAGGAUAUUGAAGAAACUGUAUUAGAUGAAGAACCUGUAUUGGAUGAAGAACCUGUUCCUUCAACGAGCUCUUCUUCAGCAAAGAGGCAAUGGAAAGACAUGAAAUUUCAGCAAAAAAUGUUUGUUCUAUUUUAGUUAGUAUGUAAUAGCAUAUUAAACAAUUAUAAAAAUAACUUUUAUUUGGCCCUAA